GCUGCUGUCCAGCACGCUGUUGGUGUGGCGACGCACCGACUGUAUCUCCUCCAAGUAAGCUGCAAGGUAAAAUGCAGGCAAGGUUGCAACAUCUAUAUGUCUAAACGUAAAAUUUGGUGGUGGGGGGAAAGGGUGAAAGAAUGUGGAAAAGUCAUUCUUUGCCUAAGUGGCAAAAAUUUACAUUUUUUACAACAUACUAAUUAUUUUGGCCAGGGUCCACGGAACAGCACUGCAUCCAGCAAGUACCAGCUGGGUGUCAAUUAUUACUUGGGAGUCUGCUCCUUUAAAUUAAAUAGUUCUUUUAAAAAAUUAAAUUCCGUUUUCCCCCUUGCAAAUCUCCAGGUCCCCUAAGCAGAUGAUUCUAGACAUUACUUACAGCAAUUCCUGCUAUUAACAGGCUGGGAUCGAAACAAAAGCUAACUCCUAUUGAAACUACUGUCUGUCAAAGCCAGCAUCAGAUGGGAAGUGAGCAUCCAUCUGCCCUGUUUCCUCCCUUCCUUCUCCUUUCUAGACUGGGAUGGAAUCUCACCCACCUCUCUGCUCAAGGUUUGUUUCUCAAUAGUUAUGAGCCCUUCUGGGAGACCACCGCCUUAGUUUUCCCUGAAGCCAUUUCUAGAACAGUUACCUUGUGUGGCUGCCCUAGCCUUGUUCAACACAACACAUUCUACUGUCAAACUGCACCGAGAACCUUAAGUACUGGAAGCUUACUUAGCUUCCCAGCAGUCAGAGUGGGAAGUGAGGCCUGAGCUGAACUCUCUUGCACUGACUCUUGGUGGCAUGGCACUGCAGCCUGAGCUGUCCUUUCACCACACGCAGGAUGUGGCUGGAGGCCCACGAACAUCAGAAAAGCUGAAUUUUAAUGCACACAGUGAAAUGGGACUGUAAGUGGUGGCAAGUAAUGGGAGAGAGGAAAUGGGGACAAUCAGGUUCCAAUUACUGCCAUGCCCUACCACAGCUACAAGAGUUGAACUGGGAAAAGAAGGACACGGUAUUUACAUCAAGCUUGUACCAUGCAAAGGAGAAUGGACCACUAAAGGACUGUAGCUGUGUCAAGACUGAAGUAGAACUAAUGGAUCUUUCUGAGAGGGGAUUUAGCUGCCACAGAGCUAAACUGCAGCUGCAAAUCUUUUGGGAACUAAAAGGGGAGGCAUCAUCAACACCCCAAUACACCAUGAACAGGCUCCUUCAGUGUUAAUGUAAAGAAAUAUGUAUUAAUUUAAUUUAAAGAUUCUCUGCCAUAGUGCCAGAGAUAUGUCACUUUAGAUAAAUAAUGGUUGAAUUCCUACUACUUAAUAUGGGAAAGUACAUUACUUAUUAAGAAGCAGGGAGUGUUAUUCACACAUUGCAGAUGAAUAUUAUAACUGUAUUUUCAAAAAUGCAUGAACUAGGACCAUAAGUAAUUGGGAAGGCCCUUUAGCAUCACAUGUGGUUAGAAAGUGGUAGCAAGUUCAAACUCAAUGCAUGUGUGAUAGAGCCCUCUGCUAUUCUGCAACAAGAAAAAACAGAGGAAUUGCACCAUAUUUCACUAAAACCUGAUCCUCUCUCACUCAGACCUCUCUAAUCACAUUAGUGUAGUGUGCAGCCUACACUCAUUAGGUAACUGGGAAGUGGUGAUAACUUACACUGAUAGAUCAGCCAGCAGAGGUAUCCUAUUAUUUAAAAUUUCCUGAGUCUCUGGCACUGCUGCUGCCUUGAAUUUUUCUCCUGUUAAUCACCUUAGCUCCUACCUCUUAAAUUCCACUUUUUUUUCUCCAAAUUGCUGCAAAGUACAACCUAGUUGAGGCCUUUAUAUGCCAUAGCAAUAACCAUUUAAUAUCAAUCCCAGAUGUAACCGGGUUCAGUGAACUGAAUUCAGUGUGAGCAACCUUCUCCUUUACAUAUUUUAUCAUGCAAGAUAAAGAAAUCUCACAUAGAAA